rnacentral:tRNA from 1 species
GCGGGUAUGGCGGAAUUGGUAGACGCACUGGAUUUAGGUUCCAGCGGAGCAAUCCAUGGGGGUUCAAAUCCCUUUACCCGCACCA